rnacentral:rRNA from 1 species
ACGAGAGGACCGGGUCGGACGCACCGCUGGUGUACCGGUUGUGGCGCCAGCCGCAUUGCCGGGUAGCCAUGUGCGGACGGGAUAACCGCUGAAAGCAUAUAAGCGGGAAGCCCACCCCAAGAUUAGGUAUCCCGGGCAUUAGCCCCUAAAGGCCUCUUCCAGACAAGGAGGUUGAUAGGUCGGAGGUGGAAGCGCUGUAAAGCGUGGAGCUGACCGAUACUAAUUGGCCGUGCGGCUUGACCGC